AAAACUUACCAUUACCCUAGAGGUAGAGAGGCUGUUUCCGCCAGACCCUCCACUUAAGAAAACAAUCCAAAGUAGAAUAUGGAAAAAUAACGUAAAUGAAGACAAUCAUGACAAAAAAACUUAAGACAACCUGACAAAUCAUCCUGAAUAAUAGUCAUAACAAGCUGCAUAAUAGAAGUGUAAAAAAUCAACUAUUCAUAACCAAAUUGAAAGG
rnacentral:misc_RNA from 1 species